rnacentral:Y_RNA from 1 species
GGCUGGUCCGAAGGUAGUGAGUUAUCUCACUUGAUUGUUCACAGUCAGUUACAGAUUGAACUCCUUGUUCUACUACUUUCCCCCCUCCUCACUACUGCGCUUGACUAGUCUUAA